UACGUAGGUGACAAGCGUUGUCCGGAUUUACUGGGCGUAAAGCGCGUGUAGGCGGCUUUGCAAGUCGGAUGUGAAAGCCCACGGCUCAACCGUGGAAGUGCAUCCGAAACUGCAUGGCUGGAGUCUCGGAGAGGAAGGUGGAAUGCUUGGUGUAGAGGUGAAAUUCGUAGAUAUCAAGCAGAACACCUGCGGCGAAGGCGGCCUUCUGGACGAUGACUGACGCUGAGACGCGAAAGCGUGGGGAGCAAACAGG
rnacentral:rRNA from 1 species